UGGCGGCGUGUCUAAUACAUGCAAGUCGUACGAGAAAGCCCGGCUUCGGUUGGGUGAGUAAAGUGGCAAACGGGUGAGUAACACGUGGAUAAUCUCCCUUUCAGUCUGGGAUAAGCUCGGGAAACUGGGUCUAAUACCGGAUGAUAUCCUUGGACGGCAUCGUCCGAAGAUCAAAGGCGGGGCAACCUGUCGCUGAGAGAUGAGUCCGCGCUCCAUUAGCUAGUUGGUAGGGUAACGGCCUACCAAGGCUGCGAUGGAUAGCCGGCCUGAGAGGGUGAACGGCCACACUGGGACUGAGAUACGGCCCAGACUCCUACGGGAGGCAGCAGUAGGGAAUAUUGGGCAAUGGGCGCAAGCCUGACCCAGCGACGCCGCGUGGGUGAUGAAGAUCUUUGGAUCGUAAAACCCUGUCAGUGGGGAAGAACCGCAUACGGAGUAACUGCCGUAUGCCUGACGGUACCCACAGAGGAAGCUCCGGCUAACUCCGUGCCAGCAGCCGCGGUAAUACGGGGGGAGCGAGCGUUGUUCGGAUUCACUGGGCGUAAAGGGCGUGUAGGUGGAUCCCCAAGUCAAAUGUGAAAACCGGCGGCUUAACCGUCGGCCUACAUUUGAAACUGUGGAUCUUGAGUACGGGAGAGGAAAGCGGAAUUCCUGGUGUAGCGGUGAAAUGCGUAGAUAUCAGGAGGAACACCGGUGGCGAAGGCGGCUUUCUGGCCCGAUACUGACACUAAGGCGCGAAGGCCGGGGGAGCAAACAGGAUUAGAUACCCUGGUAGUCCCGGCGGUAAACGAUGGGCACUAGGUGUUGGAGGUAUCGACCCCUUCAGUGCCGCAGCUAACGCAUUAAGUGCCCCGCCUGGG
rnacentral:rRNA from 1 species